GAUGAACGCUGGCAGCGUGCCUAAUACAUGCAAGUCGAGCGAACGGACGAGAAGCUUGCUUCUCUGAUGUUAGCGGCGGACGGGUGAGUAACACGUGGAUAACCUACCUAUAAGACUGGGAUAACUUCGGGAAACCGGAGCUAAUACCGGAUAAUAUUUUGAACCGCAUGGUUCAAAAGUGAAAGACGGUCUUGCUGUCACUUAUAGAUGGAUCCGCGCUGCAUUAGCUAGUUGGUAAGGUAACGGCUUACCAAGGCAACGAUGCAUAGCCGACCUGAGAGGGUGAUCGGCCACACUGGGACUGAGACACGGUCCAGACUCCUACGGGAGGCAGCAGUAGGGAAUCUUCCACAAUGGGCGAAAGCCUGACGGAGCAACGCCGCGUGAGUGAUGAAGGUCUUCGGAUCGUAAAACUCUGUUAUUAGGGAAGAACAUAUGUGUAAGUAACUGUGCACAUCUUGACGGUACCUAAUCAGAAAGCCACGGCUAACUACGUG
rnacentral:rRNA from 1 species